GGAAAAAAUUCUUUAUAAAACGGCAGAGGUUUGUAAAUAAAAAUUAAAAUAGAUUCGAGAGGAUUUAAAACAAUUUCUAUAAAAUAGGGACAGAAAUACUUCGAAUUUAUUACAAACCAUUUGUAGGUUUUCGAUUUAGUAAUUAGUAAUUAUAUAAUAUAUAUACGCACGCAUGCAUAUACAUACAUGCACACAUGGAAAUGCAUACACGCACCUAAAUAUAUAUUUAUACGCACACACUGCGAACUUAUAAAUGUUGAAACCAAAGAGCUUCGUUGCUAAACAAUUUAGUGGAAACGAAGCAAAAUAAUGAGUUGGUGAAGCAUCUUAAUAAAUUUCUCUUUAGCCAUCUCCUCUUUUGCAUAUAUAUAUAUAUAAAAAUUUAAAUACCUUGUAUAAAAUUACUUGCAAAUAAUUUUGCAGGGAAUUUAGAUUUGUAUAUACAUAUAUUUGCAUAUGGAGUGAAAAGUAUGUUAAUCUUUUUAUUUAUAUAUAAGAAGAAAAAAAACUAUUUAAAACACUUUUUAUUUGUAUUUUGAAUGUUUAAUAAUAGUAAUAAAAAAAAAACUAGAUUAGUUUUAUCACAGUCAUUGUUAAAAUUACCUGAAAAUGAAAUCCAGGCAUAAAAUAGAAUUUAACUUUAAAAUGAAGUGAAAACCAGAUAAGAGUAAUUAUUUACUUGGCGCAUAUAAUAUAUAUAUAUUCACACCAUAUAAAUGUAAUUAACAUGUAUAUGUACACAUGUUUAUAUACAUUUAUGUAUUUAAUAAAGUCCUAUUAAUACACUUGACAAAUUUGGUAGUCUAAUUGGAGACACCGCCAUGACCACAGUGAUUGGGGAUUCGGGUCAUUGGUAAAGAAGUAAAUGGCCGAGACUUGGGAUAAAUUAUUUAAAAAAAUAUUUUCUAAAUAAAUUCAAGAAAAUCUAUCUUUGCUAAAUAAUUAAGAUGUAAAAAAAUAUAACUGAAACAAAGUUUCUUUAAUUUCUUUGCAAUAAAUAUUGACCGCUUGACAGUAGCAGCAUUGAUAAGUUGCCGCGCCACGGCCAUUGUGGUUUAUUAACUUUAAGAAGCGUGGAUUUUUCUAUAAGAAAACCCAUGAAAUAUUUACUGAUGGAAAGACAGAUGUAAGCCACUCUUGGUAUGUUCUAAAGAAGAUGAAAUUAGUUGGUACAAUCAUCAUCUGCAGCUACCAAAGGCUUUAAUUUCAAAGCAAGAAAAUGCAUCAGACAAAUAUAUAGAAUUACUGCUGUCAGCCUUGAAUAAGGAGGGAUAUAAAAAGAUGUAAGGCAGAAUUUAAACACUAU